GAUUUGAAGCUCAAUAUUAAGAAGAAGGAUUUCUAGGAGAAUUUUCUAACUAGAGUUACUUGGUGCUAAGAAAAGUUUGGAAUUUGCACUCAGAGUAAAUGUCUUUCCAUUUUUUUUCUUUCUCUCCAGAACAACUUCCAGUAACCGAAGACACUGAUGAUCAAAUGGUACAUGUGGGCAGUUACAGAUUUUUGCAAAAGGAAGGCUACAUAAAUUUAAGAUGGGGUCUAAAUUGCUCAGUUGUUCAGGCUAGGCUUGAACUUGUGAAACUCUGGCCUCAGCUUCUAAGAGUGCUGGACUUACAGGCAUGCACCACCACACCCAGCUUCUGUUGUGCAACAUUCUGAGAGCCCACUUUCCUGUGUUGUUUGGGAGACUUACUGUAGACCUCCACAAAGGCUAGAACAAGUUACACGUGCCAUGGCCACUCAUGGAGACCCAAGGACAUCAAUCUUCAUCUCCAGAUAACUCCUUUGUAAACUAGGUAAGUUGCUUAGAUGGGAAAUCAGAACUAAGCAAAGGGUUACAACAAACAAGAGUUUCAUUUGUUAGAGUAGUUAAAGUUUGACGUUGGAUAGAGUAAGAUAUUUGGAUAAACCAGUUCCUAGGAGCCAAGAAACCAAGAUGAUGCACAGAGCCCAGGAGGAGCAGACCUCAGGAUGGAAGGAAACAGCCAAGACCUCAAUGUGUUUUUGUCAGUGUCCUUUGUGGUGCUGGGAUCAGACUCAGGGCCUUGUGCCUGGUAGGCAAAUGCUCUACCACUGAGCUACAGCAACAGCUCAAGACCUUGUUUUUAAGAGUGGUGGGUGGAGGAAUAAAAAUGACACGAGACAAGCAGUGAAGUCACUGAGUUUGGAUUCAGUCUCUGCCACAAAAUCGUUUUGUGGACCUGGCCCCUUCAACAGUUCUCCUAGGACAGUUUUCUCUUUGGAAACUAUAAAUUUAUAGUUUAUAAUA
rnacentral:lncRNA from 1 species